UACGGGGGGAGCAAGCGUUAUUCGGAAUUAUUGGGCGUAAAGGGCGCGUAGGCGGCUAGAUGUGUCAAAGGUGAAAUCCCUCGGCUCAACUGAGGAACUGCCUUUGAAACUGUCUGGCUUGAGGCCGGGAGAGGGUAGCGGAAUUCCCAGUGUAGCGGUGAAAUGCGUAGAUAUUGGGAGGAACACCAGUGGCGAAGGCGGCUACCUGGACCGGUUCUGACGCUGAGGCGCGAAAGCGUGGGUAGCAAACAGG
rnacentral:rRNA from 1 species